GGAGAUAUUGCUCAGUUUAUAGAGGGCUUGCCUCACAUGCAAGGCCCUGGGUUCGAUCCCCAGCAUCACACA
rnacentral:tRNA from 1 species